AAAAGCGAAUUUUCCAUAUGCAACUGCCAUUGGGAUACACCCUGUGCUCGCUUUGAAUGAAAUGCAAGCAAGUGAACACAGCUGGUGGUAUCCAGUGGCCGUUUGGCAUCCUUGCUGCACCACAAA
rnacentral:pre_miRNA from 15 species